UAGAACGCUGAAGGAGGAGCUUGCUUCUCCGGAUGAGUUGCGAACGGGUGAGUAACGCGUAGGUAACCUGCCUGGUAGCGGGGGAUAACUAUUGGAAACGAUAGCUAAUACCGCAUAAGAGUAGAUGUUGCAUGACAUUUGCUUGAAAGGUGCAAUUGCAUCACUACCAGAUGGACCUGCGUUGUACUAGCUAGUUGGUGGGGUAACGGCUCACCAAGGCGACGAUACAUAGCCGACCUGAGAGGGUGAUCGGCCACACUGGGACUGAGACACGGCCCAGACCCCUACGGGAGGCAGCAGUAGGGAAUCUUCGGCAAUGGACGAAAGUCUGACCGAGCAACGCCGCGUGAGUGAAGAAGGUUUUCGGAUCGUAAAACUCUGUUGUUAGAGAAGAACAAGUGCUAGAGUAACUGUUAGCGCCUUGACGGUAUCUAACCAGAAAGCCACGACUAACUACGUGCCAGCAGCCGCGGUAAUACGUAGGUCCCGAGCGUUGUCCGGAUUUAUUGGGCGUAAAGCGAGCGCAGGCGGUUAGAUAAGUCUGAAGUUAAAGGCUGUGGCUUAACCAUAGUACGCUUUGGAAACUGUUUAACUUGAGUGCAAGAGGGGAGAGUGGAAUUCCAUGUGUAGCGGUGAAAUGCGUAGAUAUAUGGAGGAACACCGGUGGCGAAAGCGGCUCUCUGGCUUGUAACUGACGCUGAGGCUCGAAAGCGUGGGGAGCAAACAGGAUU
rnacentral:rRNA from 1 species